GUUUUAUUUAGGUUUAAUUAUAGUUUAUAGCCUCAACUUUUAACUUUUUUUAUUUUAUAGCCUUAACUAUGAUUUAUUUUUUGUAUAUCAAGAACUUUGGUAUAUUAUUUAAUUAUAGCCCGAAAAUAAAAGUCAGUAUCGGAAAUAUGAUCUGGAUAGCCGGUAAUCUGACUCAGAUUACAAAAAAAAUGAGGUGGACAUUUUAAUUUUAUUUUUAGGCCACAUCAUCAAAUAACAAAAUAAAAAACAAUGGAAUUGUCGUUGGGCCCAUUACAAACUCAUUCAAUUAUAAAGAAGCAUAUUAGAAUAUCAAUCGUUCUGUCACCUUUACGUUCUCUCCAGUCUUCACCAAAACCACAGACUUCAUCCAAAGUUUCCACAUCAAGAUUCUACCUUUCAUGUGCGUUGGGUCUUUCAAGUGAAGAUUUUGGUGUCCACGUCGAAGGGCCAUUUUUUUUCCGAAAAGGGACAGCACGAGAGUAAGCUUAUAUAUAAUAUUUGUUCUCAUCAAAUAUUAGGGUUUAUACUUUAAUGGUUGUAGAGGCUAAUCGAAUGGUUGUAGAGGCUGAAGAAGGAGAAUGGGUUGUAGAGGCGAGCAAGUUUAUAGUGGUAGAUGAGCAAGAUGUUGGGGGAAUAGAUUGGGGUUUAGAGUGUAAUGAAGAUGAUGAAAUAAUUGAUGAUGAUGAUGAUGUAGAUUCAGAUUAUGAUAAACAGUUAGUCAUUGAAGAGUCUGAAUCUGAGCAACAUUUAGAUGAUUGUGAUUUCUCCGACGAUGGAGAUGAAGUAAUAGAAGCAAGACAGAAAAUCAGAGAAAAAAGAAUGAAAUUGACUUGGAAUAUGGGUUGUGUGCGAAGCAAUCUUUAUGCUAACAACUGUAAGGAGAAAGACUUCCAAUUUCAACUUGGAAUGAAGUUUGCAUAUCGCACAAAAGUUAAAGAAGCAGUUAUUAUGUGGAAUGUCUUGAACGGAUAUAACAUCAAAUGGACUAGGAGUAAUCCUGAUAGAGUCCAAGCAGAAUGUGUACAAGGUUGUCCUUGGAGGUUGUAUGCAAGCAAAGAAAGUAUUGAGCCUACAUUUGUCAUUAGGGUUUUGAUUAAUAAGCACAAAUGUGUUAGGGCCAAGAAAAAUAGGCAGGUUACAAGUGAAUGGCUUGCAAAUCAGAUGUUGGAUGUCAUAAAAAGAAAUCCAAACAUCACAGCUCACCAGCUUAUAAAGGAUGCACAUUUUAUGUUUGGUGUAGAAAUUACUAAGGGGAUGUGUUAUAGGACAAAACACUUGGCAUUAAAGAAGAUAAGAGGUUCUUACCAGAUGGAUUACAAUAAGCUUAGAUCUUAUGUAGCUCACCUUAAGAGUACAGAUAAAGAGGGAAGAUUUGAGUUAAUGACAAAAUUGAACAAAAAGAAUGAAUGCAUAUUUCAGAGGCUGUACAUUGGAUUUUCUGCCCUAAAGAAAGGCUUUCUAAUGGGUUGCAGAAAGUUAAUUGGAUUUGAUGGAUGCUUCCUUAAGACUGUCCUAGGGGGGGGUACUUUUGGCAGCUGUUGGAAAGGAUUGUAACAAUCACAUGUAUCCAAUAGCUUGGGCCGUAGUUGAAAAAGAGACAACAGAAUCUUGGACUUGGUUUUGUGAAAUUCUUUUUUCAGAAUUAGGCCUUAUUGAUGGACUUGGUUGGUCAUUCAUGUCAGAUAAACAAAAGGGCUUAAUUAAUGCCAUUCAAACGCUAGCCCCAAAUGCCGAGCACAGACAUUGUGCUAGGCAUGUGUAUGCCAACUGGAAAAAGAAGUUUGGUGGGCCUAAAUUCAAGUCACUCUUCUGGGCAUGUGUUAAAGCCUGCACUUUUACAAAGUAUGAAGAGUCACUAAAUCAAAUCAAAUCCGAGUCAAGUCAAGCAUUUGAGGAAUUCUGCUCAAGAUUACCCUCAUCCUUUUGAAAGCCUCUCUUGUGCUCAUUUACCAAGUCGGACUCCAUUGAUAACAAUAUUUGUGAGACCUUUAAUAGUUUUAUCUUAGAAGCAAGAGAUAAACCGAUAGUACAUAUGUUGGAAGAUAUUAGGCAGUCUCUUAUGGUGAGAAUGCAUGACAUUGUUAAAAAAUUAGAAGUGUGCAAGGAUGAGAUCUGUCCAAAUAUCAGAAAAAGACUGAAUAAGAUAGAUAGCCUAACUAGAUUUUGUGAAAUCUUGCCGGGUGUUGGAGGAAAGUAUGAGGUCAAGCACCUCAAUGUGACAUAUAUUGUGGAUCUAGGUGCUGGAUUGUGUUCUUGUGUAGAUUGGAAUCUUACAGCCAUUCCUUGUGUCCAUGCUAUGGCUUGUAUUAAUCAUUCUAGAGUUCAUGUGGAGAACUUUGUUGAUCCAUUCUACUUUAAGACAACUUGUCAAGCAGCAUAUAAAUUUUGCCUAGAGCCAUCACUUGGUGAGAGUGAAUGGCCAAAGAUCAAUGAGUGUCCUAUACAGCCACCAUACGUAUGCAAACUCCCUGGAAGGCCAAAGAAAAAUAGGAAAAGGGCUGAAGAUGAACUUCGUAUGCAUAGUUCCAACAAAAUAACAAAGCAUGGAGUGAAAAUGAAGUGUUCAAUGUGUGGUGGAGUAGGACACAACAAAAGAAGUUGCUUAAUAGCUAAGUCUGCUGCUAUUGGGAGUGAAGUCCUUGAACAACCAUGUAAUGCCUCUACUAGUGAAUUGAGGAAACACAAAAGACAAGCUCGAGAAGGUUUUGGGGUUCUUGUUGCUGAAUCUGGAAAUAUUUUAUGGAGAAAUCCGAGUGGAGGAAGAGCUCAACUUGUGGUCACAUCCCGACAUCCGAAUGAUUGUGUUCAAGUAGGAGAUCUAACAAGAGGGCAACAAACAAGGGUUGAACAAGCUUCACAAGCUAAUGGGAGUCAAGUCCUGGAUAAUCCUACACCACAUUUGUAGAGAUUUUUGUCAAGGCCCUAAUACCUUUUUUGUAAUCUAUUUGGCUAAACUUCAAAGUCCUUUUUAUAGUUUUUGUGGUCUUUAGUAUGUUAUGGAAAGUGAAAAUUUUCUGGACCAUUUAGAUGUGUGUUUUGAACUUUGAUUGGCUUUUCAAUUACAAUUCGACUUUGAAAUUGG